GCCCCCGUAGCUUAACGGAUAGAGCGUCGGUCUUCGGAACCGAAAGUUGGGGGUCCGAUUCCCUCCGGGGGCG
rnacentral:tRNA from 1 species